rnacentral:rRNA from 12 species
UUAAAUUGAAGAGUUUGAUCAUGGCUCAGAUUGAACGCUGGCGGCAGGCCUAACACAUGCAAGUCGAACGGUAACAGGAAGCAGCUUGCUGCUUCGCUGACGAGUGGCGGACGGGUGAGUAAUGUCUG